UACGUAGGUGGCAAGCGUUAUCCGGAUUUACUGGGUGUAAAGGGCGUGUAGGCGGGAGAGCAAGUCAGACGUGAAAUUCCAGGGCUCAACCCUGGAACUGCGUUUGAAACUGUUCUUCUUGAGUGAAGUAGAGGCAGGCGGAAUUCCUAGUGUAGCGGUGAAAUGCGUAGAUAUUAGGAGGAACACCAGUGGCGAAGGCGGCCUGCUGGGCUUUUACUGACGCUGAGGCUCGAAAGUGUGGGGAGCAAACAGG
rnacentral:rRNA from 1 species